rnacentral:misc_RNA from 1 species
GAAAUGCGAUAAUUAAUGUGAAUUGCAGAAUUCAGUGAAUCAUCGAGUCUUUGAACGCACAUUGCGCCCCCUGGUAUUCCGGGGGGCAUGCCUGUCCGAGCGUCAUUGCUGCCCUCAAGCACGGCUUGUGUGUUGGGCUUCCGUCCCUGGCAACGGGGACGGGCCCAAAAGGCAGUGGCGGCACCAUGUCUGGUCCUCGAGCGUAUGGGGCUUUGUCACCCGCUCCCGUAGGUCCAGCUGGCAGCCAGCCUCGCAACCAAUCUUUUUAACCAGGUUGACCUCGGAUCAGGUAGGGAUACCCGCUGAACUUAAGC